rnacentral:rRNA from 1 species
AUUGAACGCUGGCGGCACGCCUUACACAUGCAAGUCGAACGGCAGCACGGGUGCUUGCACCUGGUGGCGAGUGGCGAACGGGUGAGUAAUACAUCGGAACGUACCUUAUCGUGGGGGAUAACGCAGCGAAAGCUGUGCUAAUACCGCAUACGCCCUGAGGGGGAAAGCGGGGGAUCGCAAGACCUCGCGCGAUUAGAGCGGCCGAUGCCUGAUUAGCUAGUUGGUGGGGUAAAAGCCCACCAAGGCGACGAUCAGUAGCUGGUCUGAGAGGACGAUCAGCCACACUGGGACUGAGACACGGCCCAGACUCCUACGGGAGGCAGCAGUGGGGAAUUUUGGACAAUGGGGGCAACCCUGAUCCAGCAAUGCCGCGUGAGUGAAGAAGGCCUUCGGGUUGUAAAGCUCUUUUGUCAGGGAAGAAACACCGGCUCUAGCACAGUCCGGGAAUGACGGUACCUGAAGAAUAAGCACCGGCUAACUACGUGCCAGCCGCCGCGGUAAAAC